rnacentral:tRNA from 1 species
GGCUCCGUAGUGUAGUGGUUAUCACGUUUGCUUUACACGCAAAAGGUCCCCAGUUCGAUCCUGGGCGGAACCA